CUGGUAGUCUAUCCAGCCGGACCAACAGAUGAAACACAUGGGGAACAGUGCAACAAACGAAGGGAAUCAUAAAAAAUAUGGACAAUAGUCAUAUUUGUGCACAAUCUCCAGUUUUGUCACAGGGCACAAAUAGUGUUUUCAAAUGCCAUAUAUCCCAGGCCAUAGUCAGAAGGUAGGAGGCGGGAAAGCAGUCCCCUCCAAGAACAUGUGUCAAGGU